rnacentral:rRNA from 1 species
GUGAGGAAUUUUCCGCAAUGGGCGAAAGCCUGACGGAGCAAUGCCGCGUGAAGGAUGAAGGCCUAUGGGUUGUAAACUUCUUUUCUUAGAGAAGAAUAUUGACGGUAUCUGAGGAAUAAGCAUCGGCUAACUCUGUGCCAGCAGCCGCGGUAAGACAGAGGAUGCAAGCGUUAUCUGGAAUGAUUGGGCGUAAAGCGUCUGUAGGUGGCUUCAAAAGUCUCCUGUCAAAGAUCAGGGCUUAACCCUGGGCCGGCAGGAGAAAGUCUGAGGCUAGAGUUUGGUAGGGCCAGAGGGAAUUCCCGGUGGAGCGGUGAAAUGCGUAGAGAUCGGGAGGAACACCAAAGGCGAAAGCACUCUGCUGGGCCACAACUGACACUGAGAGACGAAAGCGAGGGGAGCAAAAGGGAUUAGAAACCCGGGUAGUCC